AACGAACGCUGGCGGCAUGCCUAACACAUGCAAGUCGAACGAAGGCUUCGGCCUUAGUGGCGCACGGGUGAGUAACGCGUGGGAAACUGCCUAUUGGUGGGGAAUAACGACGGGAAACUGUCGCUAAUACCGCAUAAGCCCUUCGGGGGAAAGAUUUAUCGCCGAUAGAUGUGCCCGCGUCCGAGUAGCUAGUUGGUGAGGUAAUGGCUCACCAAGGCGACGAUCGGUAGCUGGUCUGAGAGGAUGAUCAGCCACACUGGGACUGAGACACGGCCCAGACUCCUACGGGAGGCAGCAGUGGGGAAUAUUGAACAAUGGGCGAAAGCCUGAUCCAGCAAUGCCGCGUGAGUGAUGAAGGCCUUAGGGUUGUAAAGCUCUUUCGGGUGGGACGAUGAUGACGGUACCACCAGAAGAAGCCCCGGCUAACUUCGUGCCAGCAGCCGCCGUAA
rnacentral:rRNA from 1 species